CUUUUGUGAUUACAUCUAGUGUCUCCUAGCAACUUUGUGCUUCCUAUCCUUAUGCCUCUGGGUUCUAUUUCUACUUGGAGAUACAAUAGUUGUUCUCGUGAAUUGGAAUCAAUCAGUGCUACCUCGUGCUUUGAAAUUCUUCAUGUCCCUAGGAUGCUGCCACCAAAGAGACUGUAUUUCAUCUGGGCUUGAUGAUUGAAAUUUGGAUAAUGUAAUUUGGAACGUAAAGUACAGGUGAGAAGAUUAGAGCCUUAUCUGCAACACUACAAAGGAUGUGAAACACAGCAUUUGAGGUCAAUCAGAGUUUCUUUGAAAUCAUUUUUCAUCAGGUAUAUACUGUAAAGAAAUUCAUGUGUGCAGUGUGCAAAAAUAUUCUUACUGUGUCUACACAAAUGUCUAUCCAAAUGUCCAUUGCCAGGAGAAUGGAUCAAUAAUUUGCAUAGUAUAGCGGUGAAGAUGAUUGAAUACAACUGCAUGCUUCAACAUGGAUGAGAAUCAAAGCACAAUGCAGAGGAAAGAAAGCAAAUCACAGAAGGACACACUGAGUUCACCUGAUAAAUUUCAAAUGUACAAAAAUAAGUGGCAUAUAUUUCUAGUUUACGUGCGUAUAUAAUAAACUGUUUUACAGAGACAUAAUCCUUGGUGGGGAGGAAGGGAAAUAAGAAAAACUAUUGGGAAAAGGGGCUUUGCCAGAAUUAGUCACUUUCUGUUUCUUAAGCUGGCUUGGGCACAUGGAGGGUCAGUCAAUCAUUCUUUAUACUUUAGCUAUUACCUAGACAUAAUUUUUUGAAUCUAUGAAAUAGUUCAUGAAAAAUAAAAUUUUAAAAAG
ensembl:lncRNA